rnacentral:rRNA from 1 species
AGAGUUUGAUCCUGGCUCAGAACGAACGCUGGCGGCAGGCCUAACACAUGCAAGUCGAGCGCCCGCAAGGGAGCGGCAGACGGGUGAGUAACGCGUGGGAACGUGCCCUUUGGUUCGGAAUAUUCCCGGGAAACUGGGAGCAAAACCGGAUAAGCCCUUCGGGGGAAAGUUUACGCCAAAGGAUCGGCCCGCGUUAGAUUAGGUAGUUGGUGGGGUAACGGCCUACCAAGCCUACGAUCUAUAGCUGAUCUGAGAGGAUGAUCAGCCACACUGGGACUGAGACACGGCCCAGACUCCUACGGGAGGCAGCAGUGGGGAAUCUUGGACAAUGGGCGCAAGCCUGAUCCAGCCAUGCCGCGUGGAUGACUGAAGGCCCUAGGGUUGUAAAGUCCUUUCGGCGGGGACGAUAAUGACGGUACCCGUAGAAGAAGCCCCGGCUAACUUCGUGCCAGCAGCCGCGGUAAUACGAAGGGGGCUAGCGUUGUUCGGAUUUACUGGGCGUAAAGGGCGCGUAGGCGGAUUUUUAAGUCGGGGGUGAAAUCCCGGAGCUCAACUCCGGAACUGCCUUCGAUACUGGAAGUCUGGAGCACGGUAGAGGUGAGUGGAAUUCCGAGUGUAGCGGUGAAAUGCGUAGA